GAUGAACGCUGGCGGCGUGCCUAAUACAUGCAAGUCGAGCGAACGGACGAGAAGCUUGCUUCUCUGAUGUUAGCGGCGGACGGGUGAGUAACACGUGGAUAACCUACCUAUAAGACUGGGAUAACUUCGGGAAACCGGAGCUAAUACCGGAUAAUAUUUUGAACCGCAUGGUUCAAAAGUGAAAGACGGUCUUGCUGUCACUUAUAGAUGGAUCCGCGCUGCAUUAGCUAGUUGGUAAGGUAACGGCUUACCAAGGCAACGAUGCAUAGCCGACCUGAGAGGGUGAUAGGCCACACUGGAACUGAGCCACGCUCCAGACUCCUACGGGAGGCCGCAGUAGGGAAUCUUCCGCAAUGGGCGAAAGCCUGACGGAGCAACGCCGCGUGAGUGAUGACGGUCUUCGGAUCGUAAAACUCUGUUAUUAGGGAAGAACAUAUGUGUAAGUAACUGUGCACAUCUUGACGGUACCUAAUCAGAAAGCCACGGCUAACUACGUG
rnacentral:rRNA from 1 species